rnacentral:lncRNA from 1 species
UAUCCUAUUUGAUGACCCUGAGGAUUUGAUUGUGGUAUAAGGUGGAUUCCGCUGACUGGCUUUGUUUCUGGAAGAUUUUAGGGGCCCAGUGCUCAGCCUUCAACUCCUGGACUGUAUGCUCUAACUCUAGGGGACUUGUAUUGGGCCCUGACUUUCUUCUCUGGCUCCUCAAGAUUAGGAAUUUCUCUGCACUGUAAGGGGGUGGGGUGAGGUGCUCUUGGACCACUGGUCACUACACUCUGAUGGAUGGUGUCAGCCAAAGCAUUUAGUAGUGCAGUGACAGCAGAUCCAUCCUCAUCUGCACAUGCCAGUAGCAGUGGUAGUGGCAGCUGUGGCAAAGAGCUAGCAGAUGCUAGGGUGUCUGCCUCCCCGCAGGCAUUCACCACAGUGGUGGAGGCAACACAGCUGGGGAUGUGCAGGGGGCCUCUGCUGGUGACUGUGCAUGUGGUUGUGCUGGAGGUGGUGUUGGCUUGGGGGCAGAAUGCUGGCAGGUGCAGGUCUGGGUACCUUCUCUGUGCCCCACAAACAGGAGUGGUCACUUAGGGUGAAGGAGGAUCUGCUCUUCUCUACACAGUGUUAGUGCAAGGGUGGGGUGCUGACAGGGGCUGGGCUGGCGGGCUCUGUGUUCGCCAAGGCUCCGAUUGCAAUGGUGAUCAGUGGGGGAAUGGGAAGUGGCUGCAUUCCCACACUGGCAGGGCGAGGAAUGCAAAACCCACCCAGGCAGACACGUG